UGGUCCUUAUGCUUGUGGUGUUGUUGAGGUAGGCCUACAGUAUCUGUUGUAGUGAAGGUCUGUGAGUGAAAAGAAUGUUUCAGAUUUUCAACAGAAUAUUCCAAUAAUGAUUGAUUUUGGUCUUGAGGAUGAUUUACACUUUCUAGCAUCAAUUGAAGUGAAUAAGGAUAAUUUUGAUUCUCUGUUGGCCUAUGAUGAUCUGUUUGUGGACUAUUUUAAUGCUUUUCUCCAGCUUCCUGCAUUCCCACAACCGUUAUAUUACAACCGUUUAACUGGAGCAUUCCAAGAGGUAGAGGAUGUACUUGUUGGGGGAUCACUCCAAACUGGGGAGCACCCACCUGCGAUGCUUGCUCCCAUUGACGAAGAGCUUGAAAGGAUCAUGGAAUGGGCUAUUAAUGAAAGGUUACCACUUUUUAUGAGGACAAGACUAUUUCUGGAGUACAAACUGUGUAAAUUAUUGGUACGUCCUCUUGACAACCGUAACAGUGCCAUCAGUCGGCAAAGUAGUUACGGACUUCGAGGUUACAGCCGUCAAACGACAAGUUAUGCUACAUCCAGCUUGAUACGAAGUGCAGCACCGAGUUUAUACGACAAUGAAAGCCAUCUCAGCUGGCCUGAUCUGGAUCAAACUGGUUUGUUCAAGUAUCUGCGGCCAGGCAGCAGAUGCCAGAGCUUGCCUGCCACAUUAGGCCUUGUUGGUUAUUAUGGUACAUUGUCUUCCGCUUCUGCUGUCAACAAAAACAAAGAAAGCAGCGGAGAUAGGCACAGCAGUAAUGUGACCCCUAGCAACGAAGUGAAACCAUCUCAUCUAUAUAAUACCCACAAUUCAUCAGAAUAUAUUUCUCAAGAUCUGAUGAAUACAAGCUUUGAUCAUGAAGGCUUUGCCGGCACAUCUAACAGUCAGGAGGCAAACACUCCAAAUAAAAAGAGUUCACUGAAAAGCCCAGGUUUGAAAGGUGGCAUCCUUAAAAAACAUGCUACAAUCCAGAUACCCCGAGAAACCAAGGAACAGGAUUCAGAUGAUGAGGGCAGUUUCUCUCAAGCUAUAGAUGAAAGAUUUACAUCAGCCCCUGCAGACAAGGGAGCUACAUCACCUCAUUAUUCAACAAUUGGUGAGUUUAUCCAAGAGAUAAUUGAGGACGAGGAUGACCAGCCAAGCCUGAUAGAAUAUGAGGAGGAUGAUUUGAUAAAUUGUGAAAGAACCGAGUCAGAGCUUCUCCAAAUGGUCGGAAAACAUUACAUGACUUUUCAACAACUCAAAGAAGAGGUACUUGGCGGAAUGGUUGGCAUGGAUGAAUUUAAGUCAUUUCUCAUUGGUACCGCUGGUGAGAACUUGCUGAAUUUCUGGUUGGACUGUGAACUAUAUCGUGACAAUGUACAGGCAUUAGACAACUCAGAAGUGAAGGUCACAAAAAGCAGAUUAUUUAGAGAUAUUCAAGACAAAUAUAAAUUCAAGCUAACCAAAGAUGCGAAGGAUCAGAUAAAGAAGGCGCAGGGAAACGAGGGAUUAAGUGAAUCUGUUUACACCCGGACACAGUAUGACGUGCUCCGCAGGUUGCGGAUGUACUGGGUCCCACGCUUUCUUAUCCACCAGAAGAGGCUUGGUGAUUUUAGAUUUCAAAGAAUUCAGGAGGUGCAAGAGAGAGUGCAAGAGGAGAGGCAUCAAAGGUACCAGGUAUCAUUCCUACCAUCAAUCUCUCUCGUGAACUCACUCCCAGUGCGUCCUGGAUCAUGCUAUCGUCUUGCCUCCACCGCCAAUGAUUGGAACAUGGUGUCCAAAGCGGGACGGAAAAUGCAAGAUGAAGUUCAACCGGGCUGUGUUGAGGACCUUUCUCCACGAAGCAUGAUCCGGCCAAUGUCAGCACGUUUUCAAAUUGGCUUAGCAAGUGAUAGAGAAGCUGGGCGUCCAUUUCAACAGUAUCUUGAAAGACAAAUGGAUACUAGACUUUUAGCCAACCUGCUCUUCUUGCAAGAUGUCACGGACUACGGAGAAGCCGAAGAGAGGUCAGCUGACCGGUUUCUGCGUAUGAGUCGGGCGUGGCACAUCUUUAACAAGUACAUCAUAGAUGGUUCAGUGUGGGACAUAGGGUUACCAUGUUUUAAGCGGAAUAUACUUCAUCAUCAGCUUCUGACUGCCAGUGAUUUUGUUGCUGUGACAGCAUUUGAAAAGAUUAAAGAAAAUGCUAUGAAAACAUUGCAGAGGGAGUGGCUCCGAUAUCUCCGCCAGGAUUUGAAAACAUUUUUAAAAUGUAGAGCUAGGAUAGAAGACGUCAUCACCGUCUCUCGUAGUCAUAGUCAAGCUUCUGUAGGCUCCCCUGUGGGUGGGGUUACAGAAAAAAAACAUUUAAAAUCAAUCAAAAAUCAACAAGGAAGACACUACAAAUCAACCAGUCUGAGAGACAUGGACAUUUUGGAGGAUUCCGAGGAGUCAGAACCUGACACCAGGGCUACCAAAAUAAAAACGAAAAGCAAGAAGGAAUUAAGUCCAGAAGAGAAGAAGAAGGCUGCAGAAAAGAAAAAGAAGCAAUUAGCGGAACAGAAGAAAUUACUAAGAAAGGUGAAACAAAGGGAGGCAAACCAGAAGAAAAAAUCAACUCAUGACUUGAAAGGAAGUGUAAAAUUCAAGACACCUCAAGAUGAAAAGAAGGAAAAAGACAAUAAAGCGGAGGAAGAAUUGAAAAGAACACCGGAGGAGUUAACGAGAAACGUAACAUUUAAGAAAGUUAAUAGGAACAGAUCGUUAAUGAACUUAUUCAAGUCAUAUUUACAAGAUGCUGAAAGUCGUGAGAGGGUUAAUGAAUGCAACAUGUACAUUGAUGUAGACGUCUAUAUAAGAAUUCCAGAUUCUCACGGGGACAAAAAGAUAAGCCAAGGGAAGAUGAUAAUGUCCAACUACUUUGACCCUUCCUCUAAAAGGUUUGUUGAACUUUCUCAAGAUGUUAUGACCAAGCUAUCAUCUGAAGGUAAUAAACCCACAGCAAAAACAUUGGAGCUUGCCCAGAAAGCUGUUGCACAAAAACUUGAAGAUAGUUUCACUGUUUUUUGGAGUGCUCAUGUUGAGUCUCUGGAGGAGCAGGGGGUUGUGAUUGGUGGUGACCUGUCCAAGGCAGACUUGGCCUUAAGGUCAGAUAGCUCGCAGAGCAUGAUGAUGGCCUGGAAGAAAAAACGAAGACAGGGUAAAGGCACUCAAUCUGGUCAACAUAUGCCAUCCACUCAGGACAAGAAUGAGUUCAUGGCAUUCCUUCUGCAAUUAUCCCGUGGGGUGCCGCCUGUCAAGAUGAUGCAUUUUCAUCGGUAUCUCAUAGUGCACGGUGAGAAGGAUGGAUUCCCAAUGAUGGCAAAUGAUUUGCGCUUCUACAUGGAGGCACAACGGUUUAAAGAUGCGCAUAAUGGGGACACGGAGCUCUCAUUAUUGAAGAAAAAGGUUGAAGUUAUUCAGGACUGCUUCUUUGAUUCUGCCACUGGAAGCUCUGGUGUUCAGAUUGAUGUGAGCCCUGAACUAGCAGCCAAAGUACUUCGUCUGAUCGAAAGUUUUCUGAAGGAUCGUGGUAAAGAUCCUCAUCCAGCUAAUUUAUUUGAGGAGUGCCAACACUCCAUCUUCAAGGAGCUGCUACCUUACUGGGCGGGCUUUAGUAGACGUUAUACCAGCACUCAUUUUAAAGACAGAAUACCAUCAACCAAAGUUGAACGUUUAUCCCGGGAGCGACUGAGGAAGUACAUUGAAAUGGAAGAGCCACAGAAAGAGUUCUGCUUGCCAGCCAUUGCAGCGCCACAAAGCCGGAGUGGUGGGACUUGUAUAUCAUUUACAAUCAGUGACGGCAUCCAGUGGAAGACUUUUGACUAUGGGGAUGCCAUUAGCUCACACGACGACAACGCUUCCCCCAACCUCAGUCGCCGUGGAAGUUCUUUAGAUUCCCAAACUGCCUCUGUGAUCAAUGAGAAACAAGGUCGUAGGAGUACAAUCCGGAAGAGUAGUAAUCUUGGAAGUACCAUGGGUGACAUCAAACAGAGACUUGGUGGUACACCAAAAGUGAAUGUUUUAUCUCAAAGCUGAUGAAUUGUAUUAUUGAAAAGAGCUUCUUGAGUAUGAGAGAGAGGGGUGGAAUUUGUAACACAGAAUAAUCUGUUUAUUUUGUAUAUAUAUAUAGGGUAGGGAGGAACCUAGUUUAGAAGGCUGUGGGUACAGUUGAGUUGAGUGGAUGUCGUGGGUUAAAAUGAGGCUGUGGGUGAGAAGGAUGGAAACUUAGUUAUGAGGCUGUGGGUUUGUGUAGGGAAUAUACCCUGUGGGUACUGUGGUUUAUGUUGAGGCUGUUGGUUCAGGUAGGGUGGAACUGUUGGUUAAGACGAGGCCUGGGUGUUUUUGUGGGUAUUGGUUUAUGUUGUGUGGAACUGUGGUUCAGGAUGAGGCUGUGGGUUUGGGUACAGUGGGGCAAGAUAAGGCUGAUGGGUUUGUGUAGGGUGUACAUUGUACUGUAGAUAUAAGUUUGUGGGUUAAGGUGGGCUGUGGGUUUCAGAGUGCAAGUUGUUGGUCUUGGCAGUGUAAGAAUGGGUUCUGAGUACAGUAGUUUUGCUCCUUGUGUUUACUAAAUAAUUAUGUUCUUUUAUUUGUUUAAUCAAACAUUAGUGAAGUAUGGUUUAUAAUAUGUCUUCCUGUUCGAUGAAUCAGUCUCACAUUUCUUAGUAAAUUACGUGAUUGUGGAUGUAUUAUUUUAAAAUCAAAACUUCCAGAUUUUCUUACUCCUUAUUCAGUCAACCAGUUGCUAUGACAUCAGUGUGUGCACAAGAUCCAAAUAAUUUAAUAUUAUCUUAGCUUCCCUCUAACCCAGUACUUACAAAUAAUAGUGUAUUUCUCUAUUAAACCAUGUAAAUAUAUAUAUGGUUUUAACUAUAGCUGAAUGUAUAAAAAAAAAUUUAAGUGCAAUUGUUCAUACCAAAUGUUAUUUAUGCUGAACCAAUUUGAUUAUACUAAGUGUGUGCUUCUAUUGGAAUCAUGUGACAUAUGACAUCAUCAAAGAUUAAUUGCUGUGCUUGUCAAUAGAUUAUAGUAAAUUAAUGUAUUAAAUUAAUUGUUUUUCCCAUAAAAAGGAAUACUAUUAAAAUAAGACAUCUAA
rnacentral:misc_RNA from 1 species